AAAUUGAAGAGUUUGAUCAUGGCUCAGAUUGAACGCUGGCGGCAGGCCUAACACAUGCAAGUCGAACGGUAACAGGAAACAGCUUGCUGUUUCGCUGACGAGUGGCGGACGGGUGAGUAAUGUCUGGGAAACUGCCUGAUGGAGGGGGAUAACUACUGGAAACGGUAGCUAAUACCGCAUAAUGUCGCAAGACUAAAGAGGGGGACCUUCGGGCCUCUUGCCAUCGGAUGUGCCCAGAUGGGAUUAGCUAGUAGGUGGGGUAACGGCUCACCUAGGCGACGAUCCCUAGCUGGUCUGAGAGGAUGACCAGCCACACUGGAACUGAGACACGGUCCAGACUCCUACGGGAGGCAGCAGUGGGGAAUAUUGCACAAUGGGCGCAAGCCUGAUGCAGCCAUGCCGCGUGUAUGAAGAAGGCCUUCGGGUUGUAAAGUACUUUCAGCGGGGAGGAAGGGAGUAAAGUUAAUACCUUUACUCAUUGACGUUACCCGCAGAAGAAGCACCGGC
rnacentral:rRNA from 1 species